AGAGUUUGAUCAUGGCUCAGAACGAACGCUGGCGGCGUGCUUAACACAUGCAAGUCGAACGAGAAAGCUUCCUUCGGGAAGUAAGUAGAGUGGCGCACGGGUGAGUAACGCGUAGGUAAUCUACCCUUAUAACUGGGAUAACAUUGGGAAACUGGUGCUAAUACCGGAUACACUUCUUUACUGCAGGGUAAAGGAGGAAAGGUGGCCUCUUCAUGAAAGCUACCGUAUAGGGAUGAGCCUGCGUACCAUUAGCUAGUAGGCGGGGUAACGGCCCACCUAGGCAACGAUGGUUAGCGGGUCUGAGAGGAUGAUCCGCCACACUGGAACUGGAACACGGACCAGACUCCUACGGGAGGCAGCAGUGAGGAAUAUUGCGCAAUGGGGGAAACCCUGACGCAGCGACGCCGCGUGAGUGAGGAAGGUUUUCGGAUCGUAAAGCUCUGUCAGAAGGGAAGAAGUGUUAUAUGUUUAAUACGCAUAUAAUUUGACGGUACCUUCAGAGGAAGCACCGGCUAACUCCGUGCCAGCAACCGCGGUAAUACGGAGGGUGCAAGCGUUGUUCGGAAUUACUGGGCGUAAAGGGCGCGUAGGCGGCUGGAUAAGUCAGAUGUGAAAGUCCAUGGCUCAACUGUGGAAGUGCAUUUGAAACUGUCCGGCUUGAGUAUCGGAGGGGAGUGUGGAAUUCCCGGUGUAGAGGUGAAAUUCGUAGAGAUCGGGAGGAACACCGGUGGCGAAGGCGACACUCUGGACGAAUACUGACGCUGAGGCGCGAAAGCGUGGGGAGCAAACAGGAUUAGAUACCCUGGUAGUCCACGCCGUAAACGAUGUGAACUAGGGAUAGGGGGUGUUGAUCCCUCCUGUCCCGCAGCUAACGCAUUAAGUUCACCGCCUGGGGAGUACGGUCGCAAGAUUAAACUCAAAGGAAUUGACGGGGGCCCGC
rnacentral:rRNA from 1 species